rnacentral:tRNA from 1 species
GUGCGUGUAGCUCAGUGGAAGAGCAACAGCCUUCUAAGCUGGAGGUCGCAGGUUCAAUCCCUGCCACGCAUACCA